UACAGAGGGUGCGAGCGUUAAUCGGAAUUACUGGGCGUAAAGCGUGCGUAGACGGUUAUUUAAGUCGGAUGUGAAAGCCCCGGGCUCAACCUGGGAAUUGCAUUCGAGACUGAAUAGCUAGGGUGCGGUAGAGGGAAGCGGAAUUUCCGGUGUGGCGGUGAAAUGCGUAGAUAUCGGAAGGAACAUCAGUGGCGAAAGCGGCUUCCUGGACCAGCACCGACGUUCAGGCACGAAAGCGUGGGGAGCAAACAGG
rnacentral:rRNA from 1 species